CUUAUAUUCUGUAGCAAGGUUAACCGAAUAGGGGAGCCGUAGGGAAACCGAGUCUUAACCGGGCGUUAAGUUGCAGGGUAUAGACCCGAAACCCGGUGAUCUAGCCAUGGGCAGGUUGAAGGUUGGGUAACACUAACUGGAGGACCGAACCGACUAAUGUUGAAAAAUUAGCGGAUGACCUGUGGCUGGGGGUGAAAGGCCAAUCAAACCGGGAGAUAGCUGGUUCUCCCCGAAAGCUAUUUAGGUAGCGCCUCGUGAAUUCAUCUCCGGGGGUAGAGCACUGUUUCGGCUAGGGGGCCAUCCCGGCUUACCAACCCGAUGCAAACUGCGAAUACCGGAGAAUGUUAUCACGGGAGACACACGGCGGGUGCUAACGUCCGUCGUGAAGAGGGAAACAACCCAGACCGCCAGCUAAGGUCCCAAAGUCAUGGUUAAGUGGGAAACGAUGUGGGAAGGCCCAGACAGCCAGGAUGUUGGCUUAGAAGCAGCCAUCAUUUAAAGAAAGCGUAAUAGCUCACUGGUCGAGUCGGCCUGCGCGGAAGAUGUAACGGGGCUAAACCAU
rnacentral:rRNA from 1 species